AAAAAGGCAAACCCUGGGUUUCCGUGUGAACGUUUGACUGUCCGUCUUAUAUGAAAUUUUUUUAUAAUUAGUAUUUUCAUUGUUGUUAGAUAUUGUUGUUAGAUGAUAAAACAUGAUUAAUACUUUGUGUGUGACUUAUCUUUUUAAUUUUGUUUCAUAAUUUUUUUAAAUAAGACGAACGGUCAAAUAUUGGACACGGAAACCAGGGUUUGUCUUUUU
rfam:Oryza nivara chromosome 8, whole genome shotgun sequence.